AGCCUCUAAGCAUCAGGUAACAUCAAAUCGUACCCCAAACCGACACAGGUGGUCAGGUAGAGAAUACCAAGGCGCUUGAGAGAACUCGGGUGAAGGAACUAGGCAAAAUGGUGCCGUAACUUCGGGAGAAGGCACGCUGAUAUGUAGGUGAAGCGACUUGCUCGUGGAGCUGAAAUCAGUCGAAGAUACCAGCUGGCUGCAACUGUUUAUUAAAAACACAGCACUGUGCAAACACGAAAGUGGACGUAUACGGUGUGACGCCUGCCCGGUGCCGGAAGGUUAAUUGAUGGGGUUAGCGCAAGCGAAGCUCUUGAUCGAAGCCCCGGUAAACGGCGGCCGUAACGAUAACGGUCCUAAGGUAGCGAAAUUCCUUGUCGGGUAAGUUCCGACCUGCACGAAUGGCGUAAUGAUGGCCAGGCUGUCUCCACCCGAGACUCAGUGAAAUUGAACUCGCU
rnacentral:rRNA from 1 species